GACGAACGCUGGCGGCGUGCUUAACACAUGCAAGUCGAACGGAAAGGCCCUGCUUGCAGGGUACUCGAGUGGCGAACGGGUGAGUAACACGUGGGUGAUCUGCCCUGCACUUCGGGAUAAGCCUGGGAAACUGGGUCUAAUACCGGAUAUGACCUUCCAUGUAGUGUGUGGGGUGGAAAGAUUUAUCGGUGUGGGAUGAGCCCGCGGCCUAUCAGCUUGUUGGUGGGGUAAUGGCCUACCAAGGCGUCGACGGGUAGCCGGCCUGAGAGGGUGGACGGCCACAUUGGGACUGAGAUACGGCCCAGACUCCUACGGGAGGCAGCAGUGGGGAAUAUUGCACAAUGGGCGGAAGCCUUAUGCAGCGACGCCGCGUGGGGGAUGACGGCCUUCGGGUUGUAAACCUCUUUCGACAGGGACGAAGCUUCGGUGACGGUACCUGUAGAAGAAGCACCGGCUAACUACGUG
rnacentral:rRNA from 1 species